ACGAACGCUGGCGGCGUGCCUCAUCCCUGCAAGUAGAACGCUGAAGGAGGAGCUUGCUUCUCUGGAUGAGUUGCGAACGGGUGAGUAACGCGUAGGUAACCUGCCUGGUAGCGGGGGAUAACUAUUGGAAACGAUAGCUAAUACCGCAUAAUAGUAGAUGUUGCAUGACAUUUGCUUAAAAGGUGCAAUUGCAUCACUACCAGAUGGACCUGCGUUGUAUUAGCUAGUUGGUGGGGUAACGGCUCACCAAGGCGACGAUACAUAGCCGACCUGAGAGGGUGAUCGGCCACACUGGGACUGAGACACGGCCCAGACUCCUACGGGAGGCAGCAGUAGGGAAUCUUCGGCAAUGGACGGAAGUCUGACCGAGCAACGCCGCGUGAGUGAAGAAGGUUUUCGGAUCGUAAAGCUCUGUUGUAAGAGAAGAACGAGUGUGAGAGUGGAAAGUUCAUACUGUGACGGUAUCUUACCAGAAAGGGACGGCUAACUACGUG
rnacentral:rRNA from 1 species